rnacentral:rRNA from 1 species
AUGAAGGACUACUUCGCCAAGGUACCGACAUAUCCGUCUCACCUUUUCCGUAGGCGACAUCGAAUGCGUAGGUUUCUUUUCGUUCGCAUCAUUGAAGCUUGCGAGCAAAAUUGUCGUUUUUUAACUCGUCGGAGGAAUGCUGCCGGUUUGCUUCGGUUUAGUGCAUAUCAAAAAAUGCUGCUACCCUGGGCCACGUGCCUGGGAGAAAAUGCUGCUUGGCCUGCGCCUGAGAUUUUGAUUUUUGUAGCCUGGCCAGGCAGCCUGGCCGCAUUGCUGUGUUGGAGUGUGACCUAA